rnacentral:lncRNA from 1 species
UGUAAAUUGGACCAUAAACCUUUGCCAUGUCUGUGAAUUUUAGGUGAAGAUUUGCGCCAAGAAAUGGAAGGUAUCCGAGUAGCGGCAGGCCAUGAGGUCCUGGUGGCAAUGGAGGUGAAGGGUUUCUGCUCGGUUUCUUCCAAAUCCAGAAGUACCAGAGCAGAGUAAAACACCAUGAACAAAAGUGUGAGAAUUGCUGUAAGGUUUUCAUCUUUGUCAUGAUUGCUAGACUGUGAUAACCCCAUUACUAAGUAAACUCUCACUAUAUUUUUUUUUUUCUAUUUGUAUUCAGCAGGUUAGUCUGGCUGUAAAUGAAACAUAAGCUUUUCUUAUUUCCUGGUCUGAAGAAAAUCAGAUUAGAGUGAUAAGGUGUGAGUGAAGUGUUUAUGGCCAUUGAGAUCAUUGAGAUAAGGUAUGGAUUAAUAUCCAGUGAAAACACCCCAGUAGCUGGUUUGGCUGCAUAUAAGAGUGGUUAGGGGCUUCCUCCAAACGAUCAUCACUCGUUCUGCCUUGCGAUAAGGAGUUGUUGUUGCUGUGCUUGUUGGGUUUUCAGCAUUCUUUAUUUUCAUCUUUGCCUUUGCAAUCAAGAAACUGAACUUUCAAAAGAGAUGAACCAUCAUACAUGCAUGUAUAUGUGAAUAAUGUAAUAUAUAUGUUCUACAAGUUAUAUCAUUAAUCUCUCCUUUUGAUUCUGAGCUGUUAUCUUACAGCAAGUUAAUAGUUAUAUUUUCUGAAAGGAUGGAAACAACUAUUCUCCAGCUUUGAUGAAUUUUGGAAAAUUCUUCUCAUUGAGAGGCAAUGAUUAUAUGCACGAGUAACUACUACAUACAUACAUUACAAAAAUUUAGAUCCUGAUCUAAACAAACUAUAUGCAAUGAAAGAUAGGUGACAAGAUCAAGCAAUUAGAAAAUAAGGUGACACAUGGUUGACUUGUCUAGGAUUGCUGAUUUCGAAUUAACAGUGACAAUAUAACAUAUUACAUGUUCCGUCAAAGUGACAUGAAAUCCCCGGCCGGUUACACUCCUCAAACACAUUCCAAUUGAGGCUUGGAAUGUUUGGAACUGAAAAUAUCAAAGGUCAAUGAGCUGGUUGUGCAGGCACCAAACAUUCAGCAUAUUUAUCAUGAAAGACAGAAAGGAAACAUGGUAGGUCUAAGUAUUUUAUAUCUACCCUUUAUUUCUUUCAUCAACUCUAGCUACUUCCUCAACUGUGUUACAGAAACUCUCCUAUAAAUUUUCCAGUUCAAUUCAGGCAGAUACUGUCACCGUCAACUUCAUCGAUCAUAUAUAUUCCCUUGUUAAUUCGAAGACUUGGCUCCAUUAUAAGAGAGAACCAGAUUUUCAUGUGAAGGGGUGAGAGAUCUCUCUUGAAUCAAACAGUCCAGGCUCUUCAUAUUGUCCCUUCAACAACUUGCAAUCUUGAAUCAUAUCAUCUGGCACCAGGUAUAUACAGAGUCAUACUGACCCAUGCUUGCAGCCUAUGGCUUAAUGGCUAUGUGUGUAUGCAACAAAUCUUGCCGUUUGUUUUUGCUAUGAUUAGUUCCUCCUGUCAUUUUCUUCCUGAUGCUCCCUGUGGUGGGGUGAAACAAUUUUUUUUGGCUUAAUAUGAAAGAGAGUAUCUUAUCUUUUUGCUGAAUCGAACGCACAUAAAGAUAUAGGAUUUUUACUGCAUCCAAUCAAUUGGCAACCAAUUUUGUUCUUUCAGCCAAUUUGGUAUCAAAUCUUGUACAAUUUUCGGCAUUGUUUCUUACUUAUUCUAAAUCAGCUAAAGACAUGUGUUCCCUCUUUAGCCAAUUUCGGUUGUUUGAUUUUAUGCAGAUUUAAGAGUAUAUUGUCAGAAAAGAUGAAUUAUUGCCUAACAGAGAUAAAGUUCAAGGACCAAAGAUGAAAAGAAUAUUAUCUAAAAUAUCUGUGUCCACUGCAUCUGCAUGUUAGGGGUAAGAAUAUCUUUUUCAUGUAUAAAAGCAUGGUGACUGGUUAUCAUCAAGCAGGUAUUUCACUUCCAGACCUUAUCUUUCUUCCACAAUAAGCCUCAAGUUCUCAAUUCAGUGUUGUGAGCAAUGUGGUCAUCGUGGGGGGAUGCUAGCAAUGAGAAAGAUGAAAAUCUCAGAGCAAUACUUCUUGCCCUUUUAGCUAUGAUGUUAGCUACUUUGUGGUUCCUGUGGUCUAGGAAAAAGUGCUCAAAGAAUCCAAUACCUCCAUUGCCACCAGGCCCUAUAGGUUUGCCACUACUCGGAUACCUUCCCUUCUUAGGCACCGACCUUCACCAUGAACUCACCGAUCUAGCAAGGGUUUAUGGCCCUAUUUACAAACUGCGCCUCGGAAGCAAAUUAUGUGUUGUGAUCAGUUCCCCAACACUACUGAAGGAAAUGGUUCGUGAUCAUGACAUUGUGUUUGCUAACCAUGUUCCUAUCACAGCUGCACUAGUUGGCUCAUAUGGAGAAAGGGACAUAGCAUUUGGACCCUAUGGUCCAGAUUGGAGGCGGCUGCGCAUGGUGUUUGUGAGUAAGAUGCUGAGCAAAACCAACCUUGAUGAUAGCUAUGCUCUGAGAAGAGAAGAGGUUCACAAGUCAAUUGGUCAUAUUUAUGACAGGAUUGGCACUCCAAUCGAUUUGGGGAAGUUAGCCUUUGACACUGCAACUAACAACGUCAUGCGCAUGUUAUGGGGUGGAACGAUACUAAAAGGAGAAAAGGCAGCUGAAGCUGGAGCUGAGUUUCGAAAAGCAGUGACUGGAACAAUGGAGCUACUUGGAAAACCAAAUGUUUCAGACUUUUUCCCUGCACUUUCCAUCUUUGAUAUACAAGGAAUUGAGAGGGAAGCGAAAAAGCUCAUUUCGGUGACAGACAAGAUACUUGAUUCGGCCAUACAACAACGGAUGAAUUAUACCUUAGCCGAAGGUGAAAGGAAAGACUUUCUGCAAUUCCUCUUGGAAUAUCAUAAUCAUGAAGAUAGCGCACUAUCGAUUACAAUGCAACAACUAAAGGCAGUUCUCACGGUACAAUAUGCAUUAUCAUCUUUAGUUUCAACAGAUUUUCAUAUGCAUGCUAGCUAGCAUCUCAGAACCAAAUUGUAUUUUCAUUUUCCCUUCACACUAAAACUAUGUGCCGUAUAUUGACAGGACAUUGUGGUAGGAGGAACUGAGACCACGACAGCAAUGGUGGAAUGGGUAAUGGCUGAGCUGAUUCAGCAUCCAGAUGAAAUGAAGAAAGUUCAAGAAGAACUGACACAAGUUGUGGGGCUGGACAAUUUAGUUGAAGAGUUUCAUUUGCCGAAAUUGCAUCACUUAGAUGCUGUGGUCAAGGAGACAUUGCGAUUGCACCCUGCACUGCCUCUUCUAGUGCCCCGCCGUCCAAGCGAUUCUGCCACCAUUGGUGGCUAUACCAUACCGAAAGGUACGACUGUUUUCAUGAAUGCUUAUGCCAUACAUAGAGACCCUAGUCAUUGGGACAACCCCUUGGAGUUUAGACCCCAGAGGUUCAUGGAUCCUAGCAACAAGUUUGAUUACUUGGGCAAUAAGUUUCAGUAUGUUCCAUUUGGCUGCGGGAGAAGAAUAUGCGCAGGACUUCUUUUGGCUGAGAGGAUGUUAACCUUUGAGUUAGCUUCGUUCCUGCAUUCAUUCGAGUGGCGAUUGCCCGAUGACGCAAAACUUGACCUGUCGGAAAAAUAUGGGCUCGUGGUGAAGAAGAUGACUCCAUUAUUUGCCAUUCCAACACCAAGGUUAUCGAGAUUGGAGCUCUAUACUUAACUUUAUCUCUAUGGCAUCAGAACAUGCUGGCUACCAUAUCAUACAUUAUCAGCUAGAAUUUCUUCGAGUAUUUGAUUUGUUUUAAUACGUGGGUAAGCUAGCCUCUUCAUAACUUGAAAGUGAAGCUAUGAACAAUCAACCUGCAUGAACAGACAAGAUCUCGGAAGUUUCGGUUUAUGGGAAGAAAAAAAAAUAUAUGCGUAGAUGGGUAGAUGUUGCUUUGAUCGGUGUGUUUCAUUAGUAAUUUGAUAUAAGUUGAUAAAGAUAACUAUUACUUCAAAGGUAGAGAUAUCUAAAUGCCAAUUUCAGAGGUAUGGCUCUCAAAUGUAAGUGUAUAGUGUAAUGGCUGAUGUUUGUUUUAUGUUCGUCAACACUAUGCAAGUAGAUAUGUGCAUAAAAUGUGCUCUGAAUGGGACGGGUACAGGCCCUAGUCAAAUCGGUUCUGGGUAUUGUGUUAAAUGGACCCGAAAGAGAAGGCCCAAUUGGCUUGACGGGUUAAGAACGUAGACAAAUCUAGAAGCAUGGCAUGCCAAUUUGCUAGUGUAGGUGAUCAUGGAACUAUGGCAGCAUGUAUGGAGGGGUUUAACAUAUCCACAUGUUUUUAUUUUUUUAUUUUUAAAGCUGGCGAUUUAAGUUCUUUGUUGAAAAUCUAAAAUGAUAAGAUCAAGUAUAAAAAGAUAUGAUGUUUACGGACACAAAGAGUGCACAAAGAUAUAAUGUGGCCUACAAAUGUGUCUGUACGUGGAUGAGUGAGUGCACGAGUCUAAAAGAACGUAUUGUUUCACAACCGUAAAUACUAUGGAGACUGAUCCAAACGAAGCUUAGAAUUAGAUCACAAGUGCAGGAAAAUACCAAGAAAACUUCAUUGAGAGCUGUAGUUUCAACAUAGGUAUGCCAUAAACACUUCACUCCCACCUUAUCUCUGUAAUCUCAUUUUCCUCAUACUAACCUGCUGAAUACAAAAAAGAAACCAGUGAGAGUUUACUUGGUAAUGGGGUCAUCACAGUCUAGCAAUCAUGACAAAGAUGAAAACCUUACAGCAAUUCUCACACUUUUGUUCAUGGUGUUUACUCUGCUCUGGUACUACUGGAUUUGGAAGAAACCGAGCAGAAACCCUACACCUCCAUUGCCACCAGGACCUCGUGGCCUGCCGCUACUCGGAUACCUUCCAUUUCUUGGUGCAGAUCUUCACGUAGAAUUCACAGACAUGGCAAAGGUUUAUGGCCCAAUUUACAAACUCCAACUUGGCACCAAGUUGUGCAUUGUGGUCAGCUCACCUGAGCUAGUGAAACAAGUGGUUCGUGACUAUGACACAACAUUUGCAAACCGUGAUCCUACAAUUGCUGCUCUGAUUGCCUCAAAUGGAGGAACCGACAUCGCGUUUGGAUCCUACGGUCCAUAUUGGAGGAAGCUGCGCAAGAUGUUUGCGAGUCAGAUGCUAAGCAAAACCAAUCUUGAUGAUUGUUAUGCUCUGAGAAAAGAGGAGAUGCACAAGUCGAUCGGUCAGGUUUAUCAUGACAAAAUUGGAACCCCAACUGACUUGGCCCAGUUUGCAUUUUCCACAUCAAUCAACACAACCAUGCGUAUGCUAUGGGGUGCCACUCUACAAGGAGAGAAGGGGGGUGACUUUGGGGAAGAGUAUAGAAAAGUUGCGGCAGAAAUGAUAGACCUACUCGCAAAACCAAACAUCUCGGACUACUUUCCUGCGCUUGCAAGGUUUGACAUACAAGGAAUAGAGAGGCAAGCAAAGAAAGUUCAAUCCAAGAUUGACAAGAUUCUAACUUGUGCCAUAGAAGAAAAGAUGAAGAAGCUGGCCUCAGCUGAGAACAAUAACAGGAAGGACUUUCUGCAGUUCCUCUUGGAGAACACUAACACUCCUGAAGAUGGUUCACUAUCCCUUACGGUGCAACAACUGAAGGGCACGCUCACGGUAUGGUAUCUUAACUUUUGGCUAAUUGUUUGUUUGGAACUUGGAAGUUGUUUUUUUUUUAUCGUAUCAAGUUUCAUAAGUUACGGUUUAUAUCAACUGCAGGAUAUUGUGGUGGGUGGAACUGACACUACGGCAACAGUAGUGGAAUGGGUUCUGGCUGAGCUGAUGCAGCACCCAGAAGAAAUGAUAAAAGUUCAAGAAGAACUAACACAAAUUGUGGGGUUGAACAACUUGGUUGAAGAGUUUCAUUUGCCUGACUUACAUCACUUAGAUGCUGUGAUCAAGGAGACGUUUCGCUUGCACCCUGUACUCCCCCUUUUAGUGCCCCGGUGUCCAACCCAAUCUACCACCAUUGGUGGCUAUUACAUACCAAAAGGUUCCACUGUUUUUCUGAAUGCUUGGGCCAUACAGAGAGAUCCAAGUGUUUGGGAAGCUCCCUUGGAAUUUAGACCCCAGAGAUUCCUAAAUCCUAGCAAUAAGUUUGAUUACUUGGGUAAUAAGUUUCAGUUUCUUCCAUUUGGUUCAGGGAGAAGAAUUUGUCCUGGGAUUUCCUUAGCAGAGAGGAUGCUAAUCUAUGUAUUGGCUUCAUUCUUGCAUUCGUUCGAUUGGAAAUUGCCUAAUGACGAAAAGCUUGACCUCUCAGACAAAUUUGGACUUGUGACAAGGAAGAAGACUCCACUUACUGCUGUACCAACAGCCAGGUUAUCCAAUUUGGAGCUCUAUGCUUAAAAGCAUUCGCCUAAGUGCGAAUUUUAAACAUGCAGCAAGCACUUAUCUUAGCUAUAGGAGUUUCUGCUCCAACUGUUCCCUAAUUCUUAAUUCUACUGUGCUUCUAUAUAUAUGUUGUAACGAAAACAGUGCACCCGGUGCGCCGCUCACCCAUCCAUCUCCGCCGUCCAUUUUGAAAAAGUCAAAAAUCCGCGUCAAAUGGACGGCGGAGAUGGACGAGUGCGCUGAAUAUGCUCUCAUGUUGUAAGAAUAAAUGGAGAAAGUAGGAUAAUAAACAUAUUUUCUGGUUUCUCUAUGCUUGGCUAUAUAUGUUUCUGACUUUCUGCUCCAACCAACUGCAGUACAUAUUCUUAUGUGGUUAAGCAAUUGCAGAAUGGCUACAACUACAGGUAACAUGACUAAAACUAUGAGUGUUCGACCCAGUGAAAAGAAAACUGUUGAGACUGAAAAUAAUCGUUUUUCGACUUCUGAGGUACAAAGCCAUUUCUUUGCGUCUUCUUCAGUAAAUGGUGAGAUGUUACGGUAAAUUAAUGGACUGUUGAUGAGGUUACAGCUUGCCAAACAUCGAUCAUGAGGGUAGCUGCAGCCAUAUAUCUAUCAGAGAAAGUCAUGUCAUCCCUCGGAAGCUAAUUUCAAACUGGAAGAUCAUAGAUCGAUGAAAGCAGAGGAAAUCCAACGCCGUAUAUAACUACAGCGUAGACAAAUCUAGAAUUCUAGAUAGGCCAUAUAUCAUAUAUGGCAUGCCAAUUUGCAAGCUAGUGCAGUUGAUCAUGGAAGCGCAAUGGAUAACGACCAGUAUAUAACGUAGCCUUAACCAUUCUUAUACGCAGCCAAUCCAGCUACAGUGGUGUUUUCACUAGAUGGAAAUCCAUACCUUAUCUCAAUGAUCCCAAUGACCAUAAAGACUUCACUCUCACCUUAUCUCUAAUCUCAUUUUCUUCCCACCAGGAAAAAAGAAAAGCUUAUCUUUCAUUCUUUCAUUUACAACCAGACUAACCUGCUGAAUACAAAAAACAAAACAGUGGGAGUUUACUUAGUAAUGGGGUCAUCACAGUCUAGCAAUCAUGACAAAGAUGAAAACCUUACAGCAAUUCUCACACUUUUGUUCAUGGUGUUUACUCUGCUCUGGUACUUCUGGAUUUGGAAGAAACCGAGCAGAAACCCUUUGCCUCCAUUGCCACCAGGACCUCGUGGUCUGCCGCUACUCGGAUACCUUCCAUUUCUUGGUGCAGAUCUUCACCUAGAAUUUACUGACAUGGCAAGGGUUUAUGGUCCAAUUUACAAACUCAAACUUGGUACCAAGUUGUGCGUUGUGAUCAGCUCAC